GGCCGCAGUAUACUAACUGUGCAAAGGUAGCAUAAUCAUUAGUCUUUUAAUUGAAGGCUGGUAUGAAUGGUUGGACGAGGUAUUAACUGUUUCAAAUAAAAUUUUUUUAGAACUUUAUUAUUUAGUCAAAAAGCUAAAAUAAAUUUAAAAGACGAGAAGACCCUAUAAAUCUUUAUACUAAUUUUAUUUUAAUUAUAAAGAUAAUUUUUGUUAUAAUAAUUUUUGGUAUUUUAUUGGGGUGAUAUUAAAAUUUAAUAAACUUUUAAUUUUUUAAAAACAUUAAUUUAUGAAUAGUUGAUCCAUUAAUAAUGAUUAUAAAAUUAAGUUACUUUAGGGAUAACAGCGUAAUUUUUUUGGAGAGUUCUUAUCGAUAAAAAAGAUUGCGACCUCGAUGUUGGAUUAAGAAAAGCUUUAGGUGUAGCCGCUUAAAUGUUAAGUCUGUUCG
rnacentral:rRNA from 1 species